UGCCAGCACCCGCGGUAAUACGUAGAAGACUAGUGUUAUUCAUCUUUAAUAGGUUUAAAGGGUACCUAGACGGUAAAUAAAGCCAUAGAAGGGACUAAUUUGCUAGAGUUACUUGUGAGGGGGCAUUAAAGUACUAAUGGUGGAAAGAUGAAAUUUUGUGAUACCAAUUCUUGGAAAAGAAGUGAUGGCACUGGUAUAGGCGAAAGCAUCCCCUUAUGUGAUAAMUGACGUUGAAGGACGAAGGCUUUGUGCAUCGAACAGGAUUAAGAUACCCUGGUAGUCCAAGGGC
rnacentral:rRNA from 1 species